GCCAACAGUCAGCACCAGGCUAUUUACCUUGUUACAGGCAUUUAGUUGUUACUUUUCACUUUCCUGAAAUUGUUGAGCAAUUUUUUUACUUUUCAAAGGCAUUCAUAUAGCUGGUGUGCAAGGAGGGGGAAUGAAUGUGCAAGGCUAUUGGAAUGCCAUUGUGUGUGUGUGUGUGUGUGUGUGUGUGGCUGGGGAUUGAAUCCAGGGUUUUACACAAGCUGGGCAAGCACUCUAACACUGAGCUACAUGCCCAGUUUUGGAAUACCACAUCUUGAAGUUCUGCAAUAUAUUUGUAAUUGGAUCCCAAGAUUGAAGGAAUGUGUAUCUGCAGCAGUCUAUUACUGAUUCCAGUAUCCGUAGUAUUUAUGUGAAAACCCAUGGUCAGCUGAGAAAUACCUCUUGAUGAAAGAGGGUCUCUAGUCAGACAGCAAAAUCAGGGAAGGAUGAGGGGCUCUCAGAGAGCUAAGAUACUAUAUGAAUGCAGAAGGCUCCCAGGGGAGGAUCUUGAAGGAUGAUCAGUCCUCAUCAGAGAUCAAGAGGGGUCCAGGUAUAUAGCUCAGUGGUAAAGUAUAUGCUCAAUAUACAAAAGGUUCUGGGUUCAAUUCCCCAGCAACAAAAAACAUCCAAGAGGUUUUUGUUCAUCCCUAAGUAUUUCAUAUACACCAGAGAUGGCAUAAAGUGAAUAUAAAUUUGUGUAUACUCAGGCUGGAAUGUGGCUCAGUUGGAGAACACCAUCUAGCAUGCUUGAGGCCCUGGUUUGUAUCCCCAGCACUGCUAAAUAAAUAUGUCAUGUUCUUACCUCCAGCUCAGAAAUGGAACACUAACAGUCUAUUAAGAUUCCUUGUGUUCUGUGGCUCCAGAAGUAACUUUAUGGUUUGUUUUUGUUUUGUUUUUUAUUUUGAGACAGGGUCUUCUAAGUUGCUGAGGAUGUAUUUGGACUUGCAAUCUUCCUGCCAGAACCCUUCCAAGGUGCUGGGGUCAUAGGUGCACGCCACCAUGUCCUAUGCUUUUCUUUUUGUUUAAUAUUUUUUAGUUUUCAAAGGACCUUUAUUUUAUUUAUUUAUACACGGUGCUGAGAAUUGAACCCAGCGCCUCACACAUAAUAGGCAAGCAUCCUACCACUGAACCACAACCCCAGCCCCCUAUGUUUUUCUUAAAAAAAAAAAAAAAAAGGUUUUUAACAGUUUUUUUGAACUUUAUAUGAAUGACAUCCUAUUGUUGGUAAAUUUCUGUUACAAUUUUUUUUUUUGGAGGUACUAGGGAUUGAACCCAGAGGUGCUUUACCACUGAGCUAUAUAUACCCAGGCUCCCCUUAAUUUUGGUACCAGGGAUUGACUCCAGGGGCACAUCCCUGGCCCUUUUUAAAUUUUUUGAGGCUGGUCUUGAGCCUGACUCUGCUGGUGUGCACCACCACAUCUGGCUUUGCUCCAGGUGUUUUGCACAGCUUGAUGUCUGUGAACUCUGUCUUUGAGGCUCCUUUCCUCUCCAGCUCUGUCAUAUUCCACUUGUGAGCAGCACACAUUCUGAUGGCCAUGCACUUCUGUUUGCUUCCAUUUCUCUCUGCUUUCCCG
rnacentral:lncRNA from 1 species